rnacentral:tmRNA from 1 species
UCACUUCACAUUCAUCGCCGAUCGCCUAUAUCGGGCGUGCCGGAUUCGUCCGGAGAUGGCGAUGAACGAUGCCGUGUAAUAGAUGCAGCGGACCCGGGGGCAGUACCCGGCGGCUCCACCAAAAACCCCGGAAACGGGGCUUCUGACGGGGCCGAACCAGGAUCGACGUGUGUUCAAAGACGGUGUUUUCGCCCGGGCUGAGUAACCCGUUAAAGGCUCAAAACGACAAGUGCCAACGACAACGAGGCGCUCGCGAUUGCUGCCUAACUGAACCCCUCUUGGGACUAGGUUAGAAAGCUUUAGCGCGGUCCGGGCCGCACCGGGCAACAGAAGCGGAUUCCA